AACGAACGCUGGCGGCAGGCUUAACACAUGCAAGUCGAACGCACCGCAAGGUGAGUGGCAGACGGGUGAGUAACACGUGGGGAUCUGCCCAAUGGUACGGAAUAGCUCCGGGAAACUGGAAUUAAUACCGUAUGUGCCCUUCGGGGGAAAGAUUUAUCGCCAUUGGAUGAACCCGCGUCGGAUUAGCUAGUUGGUGUGGUAAAGGCGCACCAAGGCGACGAUCCGUAGCUGGUCUGAGAGGAUGAUCAGCCACACUGGGACUGAGACACGGCCCAGACUCCUACGGGAGGCAGCAGUGGGGAAUAUUGGACAAUGGGCGCAAGCCUGAUCCAGCCAUGCCGCAUGAGUGAUGAAGGCCCUAGGGUUGUAAAGCUCUUUCGCCGACGAAGAUAAUGACGGUAGUCGGAGAAGAAGCCCCGGCUAACUUCGUGCCAGCAGCCGCAGUAA
rnacentral:rRNA from 1 species